rnacentral:rRNA from 1 species
CUCAGGACGAACGCUGGCGGCGUGCCUAAUACAUGCAAGUCGAGCGGACAGAUGGGAGCUUGCUCCCUGAUGUUAGCGGCGGACGGGUGAGUAACACGUGGGUAACCUGCCUGUAAGACUGGGAUAACUCCGGGAAACCGGGGCUAAUACCGGAUGCUUGUUUGAACCGCAUGGUUCAGACAUAAAAGGUGGCUUCGGCUACCACUUACAGAUGGACCCGCGGCGCAUUAGCUAGUUGGUGAGGUAACGGCUCACCAAGGCGACGAUGCGUAGCCGACCUGAGAGGGUGAUCGGCCACACUGGGACUGAGACACGGCCCAGACUCCUACGGGAGGCAGCAGUAGGGAAUCUUCCGCAAUGGACGAAAGUCUGACGGAGCAACGCCGCGUGAGUGAUGAAGGUUUUCGGAUCGUAAAGCUCUGUUGUUAGGGAAGAACAAGUGCCGUUCAAAUAGGGCGGCACCUUGACGGUACCUAACCAGAAAGCCACGGCUAACUACGUGCCAGCAGCCGCGGUAAUACGUAGGUGGCAAGCGUUGUCCGGAAUUAUUGGGCGUAAAGGGCUCGCAGGCGGUUUCUUAAGUCUGAUGUGAAAGCCCCCGGCUCAACCGGGGAGGGUCAUUGGAAACUGGGGAACUUGAGUGCAGAAGAGGAGAGUGGAAUUCCACGUGUAGCGGUGAAAUGCGUAGAGAUGUGGAGGAACACCAGUGGCGAAGGCGACUCUCUGGUCUGUAACUGACGCUGAGGAGCGAAAGCGUGGGGAGCGAACAGGAUUAGAUACCCUGGUAGUCCACGCCGUAAACGAUGAGUGCUAAGUGUUAGGGGGUUUCCGCCCCUUAGUGCUGCAGCUAACGCAUUAAGCACUCCGCCUGGGGAGUACGGUCGCAAGACUGAAACUCAAAGGAAUUGACGGGGGCCCGCACAAGCGGUGGAGCAUGUGGUUUAAUUCGAAGCAACGCGAAGAACCUUACCAGGUCUUGACAUCCUCUGACAAUCCUAGAGAUAGGACGUCCCCUUCGGGGGCAGAGUGACAGGUGGUGCAUGGUUGUCGUCAGCUCGUGUCGUGAGAUGUUGGGUUAAGUCCCGCAACGAGCGCAACCCUUGAUCUUAGUUGCCAGCAUUCAGUUGGGCACUCUAAGGUGACUGCCGGUGACAAACCGGAGGAAGGUGGGGAUGACGUCAAAUCAUCAUGCCCCUUAUGACCUGGGCUACACACGUGCUACAAUGGGCAGAACAAAGGGCAGCGAGACCGCGAGGUUAAGCCAAUCCCACAAAUCUGUUCUCAGUUCGGAUCGCAGUCUGCAACUCGACUGCGUGAAGCUGGAAUCGCUAGUAAUCGCGGAUCAGCAUGC